rnacentral:tRNA from 1 species
GCUCCCGUAGCUCAGCUGUAUAGAGCGUCCGCCUCCUAAGCGGAAGGUCGGUGGUUAGAAUCCACCCGGGAGCACCA